AACGAACGCUGGCGGCAGGCUUAACACAUGCAAGUCGAACGCACCUUUCGGGGUGAGUGGCAGACGGGUGAGUAACGCGUGGGAAUCUACCCUUCUCUACGGGAUAGCUCCGGGAAACUGGAAUUAAUACCGUAUACGUCCUGAGGGAGAAAGAUUUAUCGGGGAAGGAUGAGCCCGCGUUGGAUUAGCUAGUUGGUGGGGUAAAGGCCUACCAAGGCGACGAUCCAUAGCUGGUCUAAGAGGAUGAUCAGCCACAUUGGGACUGAGACACGGCCCAAACUCCUACGGGAGGCAGCAGUGGGGAAUAUUGGACAAUGGGCGCAAGCUUGAUCCAGCCAUGCCGCGUGAGUGAUGAAGGCCCUAGGGUUGUAAAGCUCUUUCAGUGGGGACGAUAAUGACGGUACCCACAGAAGAAGCCCCGGCUAACUUCGUG
rnacentral:rRNA from 1 species